rnacentral:rRNA from 1 species
AGUACGGCGAGUGAAGCGGGAAGAGCUCAAAUUUGAAAUCUUCAAGGUUCUACCUUGACGAAUUGUAGUUUAUAGAAGUGUUUUCUGUUAGUGGAGUGGCAAAAGUUCUUUGGAAUAGGACAUCAUAGAGGGUGAGAAUCCCGUAUUUGGUCAUUCCUCCUAGCGUUGUGAUACACUUUCAACGAGUCGGAUUGUUUGGGAAUGCAGUCCAAAAUGGGUGGUAAAUUUCAUCUAAAGCUAAAUAUUGGCGAGAGACCGAUAGCGAACAAGUACCGUGAGGGAAAGAUGAAAAGAACUUUGAAAAGAGAGUUAAACAGUACGUGAAAUUGUCAAAAGGGAAGCGUUUGACACCAGUGUUGUUUUUCCGAAAAUCAAUUACGAAUGUUUUAUUUUUGAGGAGUUAUGACUUCAUCGGCUUGCUCCUUUCUUUAUGAAACUUUCUUAAUGCACUUUUCGGUUAACAAGUCAACAUCAAUUUCUUUUGUUGUAAAAGGGUAUGAGGAAGGUGGCUUUCUUUUCGGAGAAAGUGUUUAUAGCCUUGUGCCUCUGCAAUCGGAGAGAUUGAGGUCUGCAGCGUAGAUCCUUCGGGGUUAGAUACAUUUGUGCUAAGUUAUAGCUUUUCAUAGACAACUUGUUGACUAUGUUUAGUCUUGUAGCUUACUCGCUGAUGCUAUUUUACCUACGCUUAGGAUGUUGACAAAAUGGUUUUAAACGACC